UGCCCAAGAGAUCGGGAUAACACCUGGAAACAGAUGCUAAUACCGGAUAACAACAGAUGAUGCCUAUCAACUGUUUAAAAGAUGGUUCUGCUAUCACUCUUGGAUGGACCUGCGGUGCAUUAGCUAGUUGGUAGGGUAACGGCAUACCAAGGCGAUGAUGCAUAGCCUAGUUGAGAGACUGAUCGGCCACAUUGGGACUGAGACACGGCCCAAACUCCUACGGGAGGCAGCAGGU
rnacentral:rRNA from 1 species